rnacentral:rRNA from 1 species
GAUGAACGCUGGCGGCGUGCCUAAUACAUGCAAGUCGAGCGAACGGACGAGGAGCUUGCUUUUCUGAUGUUAGCGGCGGACGGGUGAGUAACACGUGGAUAACCUACCUAUCAGACUGGGAUAACUUCGGGAAACCGGAGCUAAUACCGGAUAAUAUUUUGAACCGCAUGGUUCAAAAGUGAAAGACGGUCUUGCUGUCACUUAUAGAUGGAUCCGCGCUGCAUUAGCUAGUUGGUAAGGUAACGGCUUACCAAGGCAACGAUGCAUAGCCGACCUGAGAGGCUGAUCGGCCACACUGGAACUGAGACACGGUCCAGACUCCUACGGGAGGCAGCAGUAGGGAAUCUUCCGCAAUGGUCGAGAGCCUGACGGAGCAACGCCGCGUGAGUGAUGAAGGUCUUCGGAUCGUAAAACUCUGUUAUUAGGGAAGAACAUAUGUGUAAGUAACUGUGCACAUCUUGACGGUACCUAAUCAGAAAGCCACGGCUAACUACGUG